rnacentral:lncRNA from 1 species
CGGCUGCAGAGCACAGCCAUCUGUAGGAGCUCUUGUGGUCCUUUCUCUGCUUGGCCACCUUAGCCCUUGGGAACCUGGUGGCAGAGCCAAAGACCCAGUCACUUGCAAUGUCCCAGUGUUUGAAAGCAGAGAAAGGUGCAGCAGGAAGAUAGGAAGAUGAAGACUUUGUUCUAGGUGCUGAGUUGGACAGACACUUCCAGCCUGCUUACAAGAUUCAUAACUAAGGGACAGGGUUUGUAGAAGGUGGAAAAUUGAGUGGAGACUAGAAAGAGCAGGAAUGUGGCCUUUGGAGAGGCACCUUGCCAGCUUUCUAAGUGUAGGUCAACUGCACAUUCAAAAACUACUGACUUCUACCAAGUGCAGGAAAUGAGGCCGCAGAAGCCCAGAGGAGAAUAUGAAGUUGGUGUCGACAAGAGAGAGCUGUUUUGUGGAUCCUGGUAGCUUCUUGAAGGACCCUCUGUGAUGGAGUUGAUGAGAUUUUAUAGAUGAAGAAAUGGACCCUGCUGGUGGCUGAGAAAAUGCCUUGGAAUCAGGUGAGCCGCAAAGGCGCUGCCUGGCUGCAGCGGCUGCUCUGGACCAGCUCAAUCCUGUUCCUGGAAGGAAAUCUGAGGUGCUGUUUUCUUGACUUUCAAGCCAAGUGGGAGAAAUUGAUUUCCUGAUUUGGUUUGUGCACUCUUUCAACAAGGCACUUGUUUGACCAAUUCCACUCUAUCCUUUGUAUUUGUGCCUUGUUUUUACCCAAGUUUGUGCAUAGCCUGAAGCUUGACAUAUGAAUUUCUUCAUAUUGGAUUGGAGUGGAUUCUUAAUUUAAGGAAAAACAAGUGUUUAAAGCAUUUUCAUGCAUAAAUAUGUCAGUUGAUAAAUAUUGUGAAAGGGCAGAACCAUGUUUUGUCACACUUCUGAGAGAUAGGUGAGUUGGCUUGUUGUGAUUAAAUUAAUAAUGGAUAAUUAUUUUGUCUUCUAGAAAACUGUAUUAUAGCAUUCUUAGAGAAACACAGAAUGAGAAGCCUUUAAAAAUCUACCAUGUGAAAAAGUAAGUUAAGCUCAUAAGGAUAUCUGAGAUACUCUGCAAAAGCUCCCCCAAAAAAGAAAAAGCAACUGAUUUUUUAAAGCACAAAGAAAAACCG